ACAACAUAGUGCAACAACAUAGUCGAAAUUCAAGGUCUUGAUGGUGCAAAGUUCUUAGAAGACUUGGAUUUUACAGGAUGCAAAUCAAUAGAGACUUUCCAGAUUUGAUGGGAUGUGAGAAGUUAGGAUCUCUAAGAGUUCGAGACAGAAAGAAGCCUCCUCAGCUUCGGGGACUUGAAAAGUUGGAUUUAAUUGAUUUGGAUAUUUCUGGUUGUGACUCAUUAGAAGCAAUACUGAAACGCACGUCUUUAUAAAUCAUGAACGAGAGCUAUCUUUUGACUUUUGGAGUGAUGUUUCCUCAACAGAGGCAAAUAAGCAGUUAAUAAUCAUUUUUCUUCUGAGAUUGAUGACCUACUUUUCAUCCCCAUCUUCUUUUGACAAGAAGGUUUUCCAUGACGGGGUUCUGUCAUAAUUGAAGGAAUGGGGGAGUUGGUCAUACAUGAUGCUUCAGCCAAGAUCAAAAUAUAGACCCAAAUGUCAAUAGAAGGCAUAGUAAGAUUCUUCAUCCUUGAAUAGCCAACAUGAGCAAAUAGACUUCUGCAGACUGCAAACAGAUUAGCAGCUUGCGAGGCAAGGAUGAAAAUAUCAAGCAAAGGUAAACAAGAGUUCCCCAGUGAUUUAACAGUUCCUCCAUAAGUAAACCUGGGAUUUGAAAUUUUCAAAUCGAGGUAGAUGAACUUCUGCUACUCAAUAUUGUAAACUACGCCCGGAAUUUCCCUAUCCAGAAUUUAUAUUUUCUUUGAAAAAAUCCUUGGCCAUUUUGAGUUACUUUGUGAGUUCUUUUGUGUGAAAUUUGACUAAUGGCAGAUGUCCUGUUUGAGACAAACAUAUUGGUUUUCCGCGAUGAACAAAAACCCUGUCAAGUUUCUUAUUGUUCCGUUGAUGUCCCUCUUGAACCUUCUGAGAAUAGCAUCAAUUCCCAUUAAGUAUGAUGAAGUGAGCUAAAAUAAAACAUAUCAAGUGUUUUUGGUUUGUGAUUAAAAAAAAAUGUUAAAAGUAGUUUUGGCUAGUCUGUCAUAUAUGAAUGUACGCCACCUUAACAUUACUAGUAGUCAAACUAUUGUUUUGAAUAUUAUCAAGCAAGGUAAAUUGGUGCUGCUUCCAUGACAGGUUUGUUUGGUCUGUGUAAUGAUCAAGGCUUACUUUGGGACUUCAGUUUGAUUAACUGUAUCGAUGACUUUUGCAUUAAUGAACAAUGUUUUGCUUGUUGUGAAACAAGCUAGGAUGAGGAGCUCAAGAAUUUGCUAAUUAGUUUGCAUAACGUUUGAUCCUAUUGUUGCCAUGGAAUUGCUUUAUUACAUGACUGAUUUGGGUGUGGCUCACUUGGCUGAGGAACUUCAAAUUCCAUACUUGAGACUGAUCAAAAUAAAGAAAAGGGAUUUUGCAGAGGAAGCAUUAGCAACAGUUGAGGACCAUCUUGCAUGCCAAACUUGAAGAGGCUUUGGGGCCGACUAGAGUGUCCUAAGGAAGUUUUGAUACUUGUGAAGAUCCAAAACACUUUAUCUGAUCUCAAUGUCACAUCCCUAAAUGAUUGUAAAUGUAUUUUUUUUUUCAAUUAAAUAUGCUUUAUGUAUGCUCAUUAGGUUCUAGCUCUCCUUUAAUCAAAAACUAAGUUGAUGAAUUUUUGUACGUUACCGUGAUGCAGAGUUGUUCGAUGUGGUUGCAGUCUAAUGAUUUCACUCUGGAAUUGAGGAUGCUAUGCAGAGGGAGCCAGCUAAUGAAGUCUCCUUUCAUUGUGGUCCAACUCUGAUUGGUGUCAAUGUUUAUGCAUUUGUACCUUAAUCUCUCAUGAGAUUAAAGCUGCAUUUGAUGAAAUUCGGAGGAAGUCCCCAAACACCACGGAGUUUAGAUAAGGGCAAGAAUGAGCUAUGUCAGUAUAGAAAGGCAUUUUGAAGUUCUUUGCCAUUGGCAUUUGUCAUUUGCUCCAUGUUGUUAAUACUCUUCAAAGGUUCUUGAUAUAAGGCAACUUCUUCUCAUGUGGUGUAUUAGUCCUUUGCAAGGUUGAAAUCAUGCUAUUCUUUAGCAAAGGCUGCAUCACAAAUCGCUUGGAGGAAGACUGCAUGUGUAGGUGGUUUUAUAUGUGAAGUCAAGCAUAAAAUGAGAUUUGUUAACAAGAUUACUAUUUAGAUGUCCACUUCAAGCUACAGUUUUGUGACUGGAAGAGACUUUUUUCGUAGAAAAAGCAAAUGCCAUGGAAUCAAAAAAUAAUCUGUCAACUGCAGCCAAGAGUUUCAAUGAAAAGGUUUCCGAGAAGACGUUAGUUUCUCAUUUGGAAGAAUUUUGAACCCAAAAUGAGGGCAUUAUAAAAUCAUCCGCUUGGUAUGGUUACAUCGGAAAUUCAUAUGUAAGCAUCUUCCAAUCAUUUUGGUCAUAUAACCCAAAAUGAUGGCAUUAUAAAAUCAUCCGUUCGUGCCAGUUGUUGUGAGUCGCUCACAGAUAUCACUAGCUCAACUUGAGAUUUACAGAAUUUGCAACAUCUAGACAUUAGUGGUUCUGGUAUUGAAAAGCUUCCUAGUGCUAUAUGAAGGUUGAAAAAUUGGUGCACUAUAAGUUUCCCAUCAUGCUAUUAUCUGAAAGAGCAAUUCCAAGUGAAAUCGGUGACUUGUCUUUGCUUGAGAUUCUCUAUGUUACUUGGGGAAUUUUUAAGCUUGUGAGGAUCUAGUACACUUUAUCUGGUCUCGACAGCACAUACUCGAAUGAUUUUGAUGUUGUAUUUUGAGUUGAGUCUGCUUUUUGUAUGUUCAUGAGGUUCAACCUCUCUGUUAAUCCAAUACGUAGCUGCUGAUUUUUUUGUAUGUCACCCUGAUGCAGAAAUGUUUGUUUAAUGCCGUUGCAUUCUAAUGUUAUCAUUCCAGAACUCGAUAAGGCUCUGCAAAGGGAGAUUCAAGCUGCAUUUCAUAAAAUUCAGAGAACAUUCCCGAGCAUCACAGGACGGAGAUGUGGACCAAAAUGAGAUAUGUCAUGAGACGUUAUGGAAAGGUGUUCCAAAGUUCUUCGCUAAAGGUGUUUAUAAUGUGCUCUAUGCUGAUAAUCUUGAUAGGAUUCUUGAUAUAAAGGGACCUCUUCUAAUGCGGUGCAGUAGUCCUUUGCAAACUUUGACAUCAUGCUAUUAUUUAGCAAAGGUAGAAUUUCAAAAUGCUUGCAGGAAGACUGCAUGUACAGGUGGUUUUCGAUGUGAAGUUAAGCAUAAAGUCAUGUUUGUCGACAAGAUUACCGUUUUAGAUGUCCACUUCUGGCUGCAAUUUUGUGAAUGUGAGAGACUUCUUUAAUGUAAAAAGCGAAUAUCAUGGAAUCAGCAAAUAAUCUAUCAAUUGCAGGCAAGAUUUUCAG